rnacentral:rRNA from 1 species
GGUUACUGCUAUCGGUGUUCGUCUAAGCCAUGCGAGUCAUAUGUAGCAAUACAUGGCGUACUGCUCAGUAACACGUGGAUAACCUGCCCUUGGGUCCGGCAUAACCCCGGGAAACUGGGGAUAAUUCCGGAUAACGCACAUAUGCUGGAAUGCUUUAUGCGUGAAAUGGAUUCGUCUGCCCAAGGAUGGGUCUGCGGCCUAUCAGGUAGUAGUGGGUGUAAUGUACCUACUAGCCUACGACGGGUACGGGUUGUGAGAGCAAGAGCCCGGAGAUGGAUUCUGAGACAUGAAUCCAGGCCCUACGGGGCGCAGCAGGCGCGAAAACUUUACAAUGCGGGAAACCGUGAUAAGGGGACACCGAGUGCCAGCAUCCUAUGCUGGCUGUCCGGGUGUGUAAAAUACACCUGUUAGCAAGGGCCGGGCAAGACCGGUGCCAGCCGCCGCGGUAACACCGGCGGCCCGAGUGGUGAUCGUGAUUAUUGGGUCUAAAGGGUCCGUAGCCGGUUUGGUCAGUCCUCCGGGAAAUCUGACAGCUUAACUGUUAGGCUUUCGGAGGAUACUGCCAGACUUGGAACCGGGAGAGGUAAGAGGUACUACAGGGGUAGGAGUGAAAUCUUGUAAUCCCUGUGGGACCACCUGUGGCGAAGGCGUCUUACCAGAACGGGUUCGACGGUGAGGGACGAAAGCUGGGGGCACGAACCGGAUUAGAUACCCGGGUAGUCCCAGCCGUAAACGAUGCUCGCUAGGUGUCAGGCAUGGCGCGACCGUGUCUGGUGCCGCAGGGAAGCCGUGGAGCGAGCCACCUGGGAAGUACGGCCGCAAGGCUGAAACUUAA